CUUCAUACCCACCCAUGACUCUUUUGAUUUUCUGCCCAGAGCCUUAAAUGAGUGCUGAGAACUUGGAUGGCCUGUUUAGUAGGGCUCAUCCUCUGCUGACGCAAGCUGAGGAGCGGUACUGGGUAGGACGUGCUUUCCAGUGGCUACCGUCACAUUGUACCUUCCAGACCUCAGCUUUGGGAUUGGCCAGUGUCGCAGUCAGAUGGACCUAGAGAAGGCCAAACACAAUGACAGGAAUUUGUAGGAAAGGAAGAGUCACGAUGCCAUGUUCGUAUAAAGGUACACUGAGGAGAGAGAUGCGUGGUCUGCAGCCCUCCAGCCUCCAGCCAUCUCCACCCUGUGAAAGGGUAGUGAUGGGUUGACAAGCACCAGUUGACAGAGAGUCAAAUUAUCAACAAGAUUUAAAAAAAUAAAAUCAUCCCAGCACCUCUUCCUGAGAAGACCAACGGGAAGAGCUCACAGCUCACAGACGAAGACUACUCUAUACCUCAAGAGUUUCUGCUGGAAAUAUAGUUUGCAAACUGGAAAUCCGGGGUGCGACAACAUUGGAAGACAGGUAAAACAACAGAGCCCAUCACCAUCCUUACUUCUGGUUCUGCUGCCUCCACCAAGCUGUCAUGGUAGAGGUUAACAAAGACAGAAAAGCUGGACAUGGUCCAAAUAGAGUGGAAACUGUGAAGCUCUGACGCUGCAGGUGCCUCAGCCAGAAAGGACGUUCUCAGCACCCUACAAACAGGCCUGUGCUUGCCAGAAAACUCAAGGCCGUAGAAAUGACAAAACACGAUCACCAACAAGGUGCUGCUGAACUUUCAGAAAGAAGUAUCACAAGAAAGUUCAACAUAGAGACGUUUCCACAGUCACAAUCCAUUCUUCAUGUGCCAGAAAUAAAUGUGAACUGUCACCCCGAUUCUUCUUCAUGUAUCCAGAAUACAUGUGACUCAU